rnacentral:tRNA from 1 species
GCCUGGGUGGCUCAGUCGGUUGAGCGUCCGACUUCAGCUCAGGUCACGAUCUCACAGUCUGUGGGUUCGAGCCCCGCAUCAGGCU